CGAGAGGGUUCGGCCCUCGGCAUACGGCUCAGUAACACGUGGAUAAUCUGCCCUAGGGUAGAGAAUAAUCUCGGGAAACUGAGGAUAAUGCUCUAUAGGUCUAAGAUACUGGAAUGUAUUUAGGCUGAAAGCUCAGGCGCCCUAGGAUGAGUCUGUGGACUAUCAGGUAGUAGUCAGGGUAAUGACCUGACUAGCCUACGACGGAUACGGGUUGUGAGAGCAAUAACCCGGAGACGAUAUCUGAGACACGAUAUCGGGCCCUACGGGGCGCAGCAGGCGCGAAAACUUCACACUGUGCGAAAGCGCGAUGAGGGAAUCCCAAGUGCUUGCUCGUAAGAGUAAGCUGUUUCUUUGUUUAAAACGCAGAGAGAGUAAGGGCUGGGUAAGACGGGUGCCAGCCGCCGCGGUAAUACCUGCAGCUCAAGUGGUGGCCGCUAUUAUUGGGCCUAAAACGUCCGUAGCCGGUUUGGUAAAUGCCUGGGUAAAUCGUGUAGCUUAACUAUACGAAUUCUGGGUAGACUG
rnacentral:rRNA from 1 species